rnacentral:rRNA from 1 species
CAGCCGCCGCGGUAAUGCGGAGGGAGCUAGCGUUGUUCGGAAUUACUGGGCGUAAAGCGCACGUAGGCGGCUACUCAAGUCGGGGGUGAAAGCCCGGGGCUCAACCCCGGAACUGCCCUCGAAACUAGGUAGCUAGAAUCUUGGAGAGGUCAGUGGAAUUCCGAGUGUAGAGGUGAAAUUCGUAGAUAUUCGGAAGAACACCAGUGGCGAAGGCGACUGACUGGACAAGUAUUGACGCUGAGGUGCGAAAGCGUGGGGAGCAAACAGGAUUAGAUACCCCCGUAGUCCCUGUCUCUUAUAC